UUUUAGGUCUAAUCUGCCCACUGAAUUAUUUAAAGGGCCGCAGUAUAAAUGUGCAAAGGUAGCAUAAUAAUUAGUUUUUUUAUUGGAAACUAGAAUGAAUGAUUGGACGAAAUAUUAACUGUUUAAAUUUUAUCGAUAAAAUUUAUUUUUUUAGUGAAAAAACUAAGAUUAUUUAAAAAGACAAGAAGACCCUAUAGAUCUUAAUAUAUUUUAUUUAUAUAUUUAUAUAAAUAAAAUUAUUUAAUUGGGGUGAUUAAAAAAUUUAAUUAACUUUAGUAAUUUAAAACUAAAAUUAUAGGGGUAAGUUAUAAUCGAUUUAAUUAAUAUAAUAUUAUUUAUCAAUAAAGAAAAAGAUACCUUAGGGAUAACAGCGUAAUUUUAAUUUUAAGUUCUUAUUAAAAUUAGAGAUUGCGACCUCGAUGUUGGAUUAAAAUUAAUAUCAAAUGUAGAUGUUUGAGAAUUAGGUCUGUUCGACCUUUAAAAUUUUACG
rnacentral:rRNA from 1 species